UACGUAGGGUGCGAGCGUUAAUCGGAAUUACUGGGCGUAAAGCGUGCGCAGGCGGUUUGUUAAGUCCGUUGUGAAAGCCCCGAGCUCAACUUGGGAAUUGCAGUGGAUACUGGCAGGCUGGAGUGCGGUAGAGGAAGGUGGAAUUCCCGGUGUAGCAGUGAAAUGCGUAGAUAUCGGGAGGAACACCAGUGGCGAAGGCGGCCUUCUGGACCAGUACUGACGCUCAUGCACGAAAGCGUGGGGAGCAAACAGG
rnacentral:rRNA from 1 species